rnacentral:rRNA from 1 species
GACGAACGCUGGCGGCGUGCCUAAUACAUGCAAGUAGAACGCUGAAGGAGGAGCUUGCUCUUCUGGAUGAGUUGCGAACGGGUGAGUAACGCGUAGGUAACCUACCUGGUAGCGGGGGAUAACUAUUGGAAACGAUAGCUAAUACCGCAUAAGAGUAGAUGUUGCAUGACAUUUGCUUAAAAGGUGCAAUUGCAUCACUACCAGAUGGACCUGCGUUGUAUUAGCUAGUUGGUGGGGUAACGGCUCACCAAGGCGACGAUACAUAGCCGACAUGAGAGGGUGAUCGGCCACACUGGGACUGAGACACGGCCCAGACUCCUACGGGAGGCAGCAGUAGGGAAUCUUCGGCAAUGGACGGAAGUCUGACCGAGCAACGCCGCGUGAGUGAAGAAGGGUUUCGGAUCGUAAAGCUCUGUUGUAAGAGAAGAACGAGUGUGAGAGUGGAAAGUUCACACUGUGACGGUAUCUUACCAGAAAGGGACGGCUAACUACGUG